AAAUCAGCUUGCUGUGGUUCUUAAUAGAUUGGUGGGAUAAAGAUAGGAUGAUGGAGAAUACAUUAAACUCUUUAAGUUACCGUUGGAUGGGAGGGCAAAUUAAUCUUUGCCAUGACAUACUUUGUGGAAGCUAUAUUAUAUUUCUUGUUUACUAUUCCUGGCUUACAAGAGAACUGGAAGAGCUGUUUUGUCGUCCUUUUUAUCCAGCCUUAUCAGAGUGUUCUUCGACUGGAUAACACUGUUGUUAGAGAAAAGGGGAAACAAGUGAUCGAGAUGGAAAUCAAGUAGACAUUUGACCAUCCGAAAACAAUUAAGUUACUUCUAAAAUGAUGAAAGGUUUAAUAUAUACUGUUCACAUAUUUUUGUUUCUGAAUUCAGCAACAAACAUGAAGAAACGGAUUGAUUUUAGGUGGCUAACAGAUGUUGAAAUGUAAGCUUAUA
rnacentral:misc_RNA from 1 species